rfam:Phlebotomus papatasi Contig1253.5, whole genome shotgun sequence.
GGGGAUGUAGCUCAGGGGCAGAGCGCUCGCUUCGCAUGUGAGAGGACCCGGGUUCAAUCCCCGGCAUCUCCA